rnacentral:rRNA from 1 species
AUAUGUGAUCGUCUCUCGCAUAUCAAUAAGCGGAGGAAAAGAAACUAACAAGGAUUCCCCUAGUAACGGCGAGUGAAGCGGGGAGAGCUCAAAUUUGAAAUCUUAAAGGGUUUCCCUUUACAAAUUGUAGUUUAAAGAAGUGUUUUCUGUUGAGGUUUUGGUAAAAGUUCUUUGGAAUAGGACAUCAUAGAGGGUGAGAAUCCCGUAUUUGACCUUCACUUUCAACUUUGUGAUACACUUUCAAAGAGUCGGAUUGUUUGGGAAUGCAGUCCAAAAUGGGUGGUAAAUUUCAUCUAAAGCUAAAUAUUGGCGAGAGACCGAUAGCGAACAAGUACCGUGAGGGAAAGAUGAAAAGAACUUUGAAAAGAGAGUUAAACAGUACGUGAAAUUGUCAAAAGGGAAGCGUUUGACACCAGUGUUGUUUUUCUGAAAAUCAAUUAAAGAACUGUUUAUGCUAAGUUGUUUAGACUUUAUCAGCUAACUGUUUAGUUUUGAGCUUUUCUUUAAUGCACUUUUCAGUUAACAAGUCAACAUCAAUUUCUUUUGCUGUAAAAAAGCUUGAGGAAGGUGGCUUGAGAUUCGUCUUAAGUGUUUAUAGCCUCUUGCCUAUGCAGUCGGAGAGAUUGAGGUCUGCAGCGUAGAUCCUUCGGGGCUAAAUGCAUUUGUGCUAAGUUAUAGCAUUUUAUAGACAACUUGUUGACUAUGAUUUGUCUUGUAGCUUACUCGCUUAUGUUAUUUUACCUACGCUUAGGAUGUUGAACGCGCACAGAGUCUC